CACAGUAGGGCGCUCUUGACGCGUAUGCACGUCUUUUAUUUUUCUCAAAGUUUAUUUGUAGGAGGCAUGGACAGUGAAAAGAAUACAGCAGGUACUUUACAGCUUUCGCUAGUUAUGGCCGAUCCACACUCGCACAAACAAACCAAGUAAGCUGAUAUAUCUCCCGAUUGAGCAGACUUCUUAACUUUCCCCUUGCAGCUCCUAUAACAAUCUAUGAGAAUUAACUAACGAAGGAAAAGUUUUGCAUUUCAAAGUUAUGUUUAUGUUAGCAAUGUUGGAAAUUUUAAACUCUACAUUUUCAAAAAUUAUGUGCAUGUAAUAUUAAUAUUUUAAUCUUGUACCUUUUCCUUUUUUGUACUUUGAAUGCUGAGGAACCGUUGGUGAUAUUCAUACUGUUUACACCAACACUCACUAUUGCAUUGUCGCGCGUUUCGAGUUAACCUUCAGUAUCUGAAGACGAUAACUUUGUUAUCGAAACGCACGUCAGACAGUGUCAUCGUGAGUGGUGGUGUAGUGAUAGAUUGUUAUGCAUGUGGUAUUCCGAACAUCCGUUUGUGCAAAUAUUAGCUUAAGAGGCGGUCAGGAACUUCAAUUUAAACUACCAAAAGCCGAUGUCCUUUAAAAAUAUAAUCAAACAUCUAGGUCUGCACCUAUUAACGUCACCAGAUAAAUUGUAAGGUUUGUUCAAGUGUUUGAACCUGUGCUGGACACUCACCGAUAACUUUGCAAUUUGUUCCUAUGCACAUCAUCUUGUAGUAGAGGUUUGUAAGCAAGCCAGAAUACUCGGAGAUGUAAUAAGUUUUACCAAGAAUUGAUUUUGGUGUCAUUGAUGGUAUAUGUCCUUGGAUAAUUAAACACCCUGGUCCGGGUAUUUCUGGGACCACCUCAUAUUUGAACCUUGUACGAUUGAAUGUUAUGCUCUUACCGAUUACUUCUUCUGCAGUUUGUAAUACUGAUUGUUCUCGUAGGGAAGGGUGUGAACAAAAUAAAAUCACUUUUUUUAAAGAAUUUAUUAAAGAAUAAAAUAUAACAGAUGUAUCCCUAAAAAGCGAAGCUUUCGAUGCUUUAUAACAACAAAUGUUUAUAACAUUCCCAAUAGGUUACAAGCACAAAAAUUAAACUGUACACGGUAAUUGUUAAUAUUUUUUUUAUAAAUUAUUAAUAAUGUAAGAUGAAGCCAUAAUAUAUAUAUAUAUAUAUAUAUAUAUAUAUAUAUAAAUUGAAUCGGAAGUUGGAUUUUUACAACUACCGAUUGAAAAUUAAUUGAAUAUUCUAAUCUACUUAAAUAGCACCAAAAUUGCUCUUCCUUUAUAUAUUGGUAAAUGCCAAUAAAGCAAUAUACAUAAAUAUUUAUCUACAACAAACGUUUCAAAAUAAAAUAUAUCGAAAAAUUACUAACAAUUUAAAUAGAAAAAAAUCCUUUGGAUUUUUUCUCUCGAAUUAUAGCAAAUUUCCUAACACUUAAUAAUAAAGGAUAUUAGAAUAAGGCAUUUUUAUUUUCAAGUUAUUUAGAAUAUGUGUCUACAUCGAAUCGAUUUAUUGCUCAACCAACGUACAUAAUACAUUAAUAAUUUAAAGCCUAAAGCGAUUUUUUAAAAAAUUAAUUCGUUAAAGUAAAAAAAAAAAUAAAUAAGCCUCUAUAACUAAAUAGAUUUCUAAUAAACUUAAAACAACACAAAAUGGAAAAUUAACUUUUUUUUUUUUUAAUUUUUUGUUAUGUGUGUGUGUAUAUGUGUGCGUUGAAAUACUUCCGUAUCUGCCCCGUUCGGAAUCCUAGUUUAGCGUUUUCAAAAUCGUAGAAUCCAUUUAUCAUACCAGAUAUAUGAAAUUUCCAGGUUCACUAGUUCUAGAUCAGAUUUUUUUAAUUGAAUGUAUGAAUUAAAUAAGAUAUUCUUUUUUUUAGGGGAAGGGGAAUUAUUUUUAGAAGAUACAUACUUAGAAGAAGAGCAAGAGAAAGUCAAAAAUUCACGUUUUUAUUUGUUGAAUAUUAAUUUACAUGCCUAUAGAUUAUAUUUAGCAGAACAAGGAACGAAUUCACUUUCUGGUUACUUUAUCUUAUCUCAGGUUAUCUUAAUUGGGGGAAAAGAUAUUUUCCUAUAAAAUUUUUAUAUUCAAUAAGUCAAGUUGAAAAUGCCGAACUAGAAGUCGACAAAUUCAAUUAUCGAAAAAAUAAUUGUUGACAUCAGGACUUGGAUAAAUGGAUUCUGCGAUUUCGAAAACGCCAAAUGAACGUGCUUAUAUCGUGUUCUAAGCUAGAUACAAAAAAGUAUUUCCAAAUAAAAUAUUUUUUGGAGGAUUGUUUGACUAAUAAAUAUAUAACAUCCUCCGAUGUAAGUGAAUAACUGUUCUUUCAAAUUAUAUUUGACAAAACUGAACUAACAGAUUAACUUUGUUUUGGCAGAACCACAAUCAAAAAUUAUUCAUUUUACUACCUACAUCUACGGCUCUAAACACUUGAUAAAUACUUUUGAUUUGAUUUUUUUUGGGGUAAAAACCUCUAUUUGUGAGAAACAACUGGAAUCAUGAAUAAACUUUAUAUUGUAAGAACAAGAAUCAUUUGAAAGUUCUGUUUUAGACAUCAUAUUAUCUUCGUCAUUUUUAUGGUAGUUCCUAUAUAUUUUGACGUAAAAUAAGUCCUAAUCAUAUCGUCCACUUCAAUUUUAGUUGUUCUUCAUCAACUUUGAAAGUUGUUCCUGUACUUUUUGCUAAUUUCAGUAUUCUAAGGUAAGUUUUUGACAUUAUUUAAGUUCUAAUCAUAUCGUCCACUUCAAUUUUAGUUGUUCUUCAUCAUUUUUAAGGUUGUUCCUGUACUUUUUGCUAAUUUCAGUAUUCUGAGGUAAGUUUAUUACAGUUUUAGUUUGUUCUUUACCAUUUUGGAGGAUUUUCCAAUACUUUUGCUAUUUUUACAUUCCAAAGUUAUAAUUUUGACAUCAGAUAAGUCCUAAUCAUAUCGUCCACUUCAAUUUUAGUUGUUCUUCAUCAUUUUAAAGGUUGUUCCUGUACUUUUUGCUAAUUUCAAUAUUCUGAGGUAAGUUUAUUACAGUUUUAGUUUGUUCUUUACCAUUUUGGAGGAUUUUCCAAUACUUUUGCUAUUUUUACAUUCCAAAGUUAUAAUUUUGACAUCAGAUAAGUCCUAAUCAUAUCGUCCACUUCAAUUUUAGUUGUUCUUCAUCAUUUUAAAGGUUGUUCCUGUACUUUUUGCUAAUUUCAAUAUUCUGAGGUAAGUUUAUUACAGUUUUAGUUUGUUCUUUACCAUUUUGGAGGAUUUUCCAAUACUUUUGCUAUUUUUACAUUCCAAAGUUAUAAUUUUGACAUCAGAUAAGUCCUAAUCAUAUCGUCCACUUCAAUUUUAGUUGUUCUUCAUCAUUUUGAAGGUUGUUUCUGUACUUUUUGCUAAUUUCAGUAUUCUAAGGUAAGUUUAUUACAGUUUUAGUUUGUUCUUUACCAUUUUGGAGGAUUUUACAAUACUUUUGCUAUUUUUACAUUCCAAAGUUAUAAUUUUGACAUCAGAUAAGUCCUAAUCAUAUCGUCCACUUCAAUUUUAGUUGUUCUUCAUCAUUUUGAAGGUUGUUUCUGUACUUUUUGCUAAUUUCAGUAUUCUAAGGUAAGUUUUUGACAUUAUUUAAGUCCUAAUCAUAUUUUAUAUUAGUUAUAGUUUGUUCUUUACCAUUUUGGAGGAUUUUCCAAUACUUUUGCUAUUUUUACAUUCCAAAGUUAUAUUUA